rnacentral:rRNA from 1 species
UACGUAGGGAGCGAGCGUUGUCCGGAUUCAUUGGGCGUAAAGAGCUCGUAGGCGGCUUGGUAAGUCGGAUGUGAAACCUCCAGGCUCAACCUGGAGUCGCCAUCCGAUACUGCCAUGGCUAGAGUCCGGUAGGGGCCCACGGAAUUCCUGGUGUAGCGGUGAAAUGCGCAGAUAUCAGGAGGAACACCUGUGGCGAAGGCGGUGGCCUGGACCGGUGCUGACGCUGAGGCGCGAAGGCGUGGGGAGCGAUCCGG